rnacentral:rRNA from 1 species
UACGGAGGGGGCUAGCGUUGUUCGGAAUUACUGGGCGUAAAGCGCACGUAGGCGGCUUUGUAAGUUAGAGGUGAAAGCCCGGAGCUUAACUCCGAAACUGCAUUCGGUACUGCCGUGCUUGAGGACUGGAGAGGAGACUGGAAUUUACGGUGUAGCGGUGAAAUGCGUAGAUAUCGUAAGGAAGACCAGUGGCGAAGGCGGGUCUCUGGACAGUUCCUGACGCUGAGGCACGAAGGUCAGGGGAGCAAACGGG